rnacentral:rRNA from 1 species
AAGACGCCGGGCUUCGGCCUGGUUAUUCAUAACCCUUUGUUGUCCGACUCUGUUGCCUCCGGGGCGACCCUGCCUUCGGGCGGGGGCUCCGGGUGGACACUUCAAACUCUUGCGUAACUUUGCAGUCUGAGUAAACUUAAUUAAUAAAUUAAAACUUUUAACAACGGAUCUCUUGGUUCUGGCAUCGAUGAAGAACGCAGCGAAAUGCGAUAAGUAAUGUGAAUUGCAGAAUUCAGUGAAUCAUCGAAUCUUUGAACGCACAUUGCGCCCCCUGGUAUUCCGGGGGGCAUGCCUGUUCGAGCGUCAUUUCACCACUCAAGCCUCGCUUGGUAUUGGGCAACGCGGUCCGCCGCGUGCCUCAAAUCGUCCGGCUGGGUCUUCUGUCCCCUAAGCGUUGUGGAAACUAUUCGCUAAAGGGUGUUCGGGAGGCUACGCCGUAAAACAACCCCAUUUCUAAGGUUGACCUCGGAUCAGGUAGGGAUACCCGCUGAACUUAAGCAUAUCAAUAA